GUUUGCCUACGGGAGGCAGCAGUGAGGAAUAUUGGUCAAUGGCCGGAAGGCUGAACCAGCCACGCCGCGUGAAGGACGAAGGUGCCAAGCAUUGUAAACUUCUUUUGUCAAGGGACAAAAUCAGGCUCGAGAGCCUGACCGAGGGUACUUGAAGAAAAAGCAUCGGCUAACUCCGUGCCAGCAGCCGCGGUAAUACGGAGGAUGCGAGCGUUAUCCGGAUUUACUGGGUGUAAAGGGAGCGUAGACGGCUGUGCAAGUCUGAAGUGAAAGCCCGUGGCUCAACCGCGGAACUGCUUUGGGAACUG
rnacentral:rRNA from 1 species